rnacentral:misc_RNA from 1 species
GAUGAAGAACGUAGCGAAAUGCGAUAAGUAGUGUGAAUUGCAGAAUUCAGUGAAUCAUCGAAUCUUUGAACGCACAUUGCGCCCUUUGGUAUUCCUUAGGGCAUGCCUGUUCGAGCGUCAUUUAAACCUUCAAGCUAAGCUUGGUGUUGGGUGACUGUCCGCUUCACGGCGGACUCGCCUCAAAAUUAUUGGCGGCCGGUACAUUGGCUUCGAGCGCAGCAGAAACGCGAACUCGGGCCCGUCGUAUUGGCUCCCAGAAGCUAUCUUCACAAUUUUGACCUCGGAUCAGGUAGGGACACCCGCUGAACUUAAGCAUAUCAAUAAGCGGAGGA